AAGAUUCAAGUGAACCAGGGAAGGAGAAUGACAUCAGACUGGGCUUGUGCCUGAUAAUUCAUUUCUGAAGGUGCAAUAUUAAGUGUCACAGUGUCCAGCUGGUGAUAUUUUCAGCAUAGAAACCUGUUAGACACGGCAGCAUUAAGGAGAUGGAAUGAAUUGAUUUAUUUCUCUUCUGAAUUGCUUGGCAGUGCUUCAAGAUUGACGCAUCAGAUUUGCACAAUGUGCCACUUUAGGAGAUUAUUUCUUCCUUCCUUCAGCCAGACAGAAGACUGCAGUAGGGAUAUGGUUCCUGUUUGCCUAUUUCCAUCCACAACUCUGCCAGAGACGAAAGCAGUGUUUGAAACAAUUCACCAAGAUUUCCAUCUGGAAUCAUCAAGAAUGGAAUUGAUCAAAUUCCUUAAGAAAUUUACUUAAAGUCAUGAUUUUGACAGCCUAGUGCUACCUGGAAAAGGGACAGCAGCAGCCUGGAGCAGUUUUCUAGCUAACAAGAAUUUUGUUAGCUAUGUGGCCACCUAGUGGCUCUUCCAUGGAUGUCGCUGAUGCAUUGUCAGGUACACAGACAAUUGCCCACUAAUAAAGAAGUUAUUAUCUUUCUUGGAA
rnacentral:lncRNA from 1 species